AGUGAACGCUGGCGGUAUGCCUAACACAUGCAAGUCGAACGGCAGCACAGUAAGAGCUUGCUCUUACGGGUGGCGAGUGGCGGACGGGUGAGGAAUACAUCGGAAUCUACUUUUUCGUGGGGGAUAACGUAGGGAAACUUACGCUAAUACCGCAUACGACCUACCGGUGAAAGCAGGGGAUCUUCGGACCUUGCGCGAUUGAAUUAGCCGAUGUCGGAUUAGCUAGUUGGCGGGGUAAAGGCCCACCAAGGCGACGAUUCGUAGCUGGUCUGAGAGGAUGAUCGGCCACACUGGAACUGAGACACGGUCCAGACUCCUACGGGAGGCAGCAGUGGGGAAUAUUGGGCAAUGGGCGCAAGCCUGAUCCAGCCAUACCGCGUGGGUGAAGAAGGCCUUCGGGUUGUAAAGCCCUUUUGUUGGGAAAGAAAAGCUGUAGGUGAAUACCCCGCUGUUCUGACGGUACCCAAUGAAUAAGCACCGGCUAACUUCGUG
rnacentral:rRNA from 1 species